UUAUUCUCGUACCUUUUGCAUCAUGAUUUAGCCAGCGUGACCCAAGCAAAGAGUGCUUUAGUUUGACACCCCGAAACUAGGGGAGCUACUCCAAGACAGCCUAUUUAUAGGGCGAACCCGUCUCUGUGGCAAAAGAGUGGAAUGAGCUUUGAGUAGAGGUGAUAAACCUACCGAACCUAGUUAUAGCUGGUUGCCCGGGAAAUGGAUAGAAGUUCAGCCUCUCAGAUUCUUUAUAAACUGUGAGAGUUAUUCAAAGGGGGUACAGCCCCUUUGAAACAAGAUACAACUUUUCCGGGAGGAAAAAGAUCAUAAUUAAAUAAAGGUAAGUAUUUGGGUGGGCCUAAAAGCAGCCAUCCCAGUAGAAAGCGUUAUAGCUCAAAUACAUUAUCCUGAUCGUUAAUUCUUACUCCCCCCUUCCCUACCGGGCCAUCCCAUGCAAACAUGGGAGGGACCCUGCUAAUAUGAGUAAUAAGAGAGGCCUCUCUCCUUGCACACAUGUAAUUCGGAACGAACCCGCACCGAGCAUUAACGACCCCAAACGAAGAGGGACCUGAACAACAACCAGAAAAGAAUUCACCGUUAACCCUACACAGGUGUGCACCUCAGGAAAGACUAAAAGAAAGAGAAGGAACUCGGCAAACAAGCCUCGCCUGUUUACCAAAAACAUCGCCUCUUGCAAGAAUAAGAGGUCCCGCCUGCCCUGUGACUAUUAGUUUAACGGCCGCGGUAUUUUGACCGUGCAAAGGUAGCGCAAUCACUUGUCUUUUAAAUGAAGACCUGUAUGAAUGGCACAACGAGGGCUUAACUGUCUCCUCUUUCAAGUCAAUGAAAUUGAUCUCCCCGUGCAGAAGCGGGGAUAUAAACAUAAGACGAGAAGACCCUAUGGAGCUUUAGACACCAAAGAAGAUCCUGUCAAAUAACCCCCCAUAAGGGCCUGAACUAAUGGAACCCUUCCCUAAUGUCUUUGGUUGGGGCGACCGCGGGGAAACAAAAAACCCCCACGUGGAAAGGGAGCACUCCUACAACUAAGAGCCGCAGCUCUAAUUAACAGAAUAUCUGACCAACAAGAUCCGGCAAUGCCGAUCAACGGACCGAGUUACCCUAGGGAUAACAGCGCAAUCCCCUUUUAGAGCCCAUAUCGACAAGGGGGUUUACGACCUCGAUGUUGGAUCAGGACAUCCUAAUGGUGCAG
rnacentral:rRNA from 1 species